GGAGCAGGCGGCAACAAAGGUCUAACGUUAAAGGCAAUGGCUCAACCAUUGUAUGGCGAAGAAACCAUGUAGCUAGAGUUCUAAAGAGGAUCGUGGAAUUCCAUGUGUAGCGGUGAAAUGCGUAGAUAUAUGGAGGAACACCAGUGGCGAAGGCGACGAUCUGGAUAGAAACAGACGCUGAGUCCCGAAAGCGUGGGAGCAAAUA
rnacentral:rRNA from 1 species